AACGAACGCUGGCGGCAGGCCUAACACAUGCAAGUCGAGCGCUCUUCUUCGGAAGGGAGCGGCGGACGGGUUAGUAACGCGUGGGAACAUACCCUUUUCUAAGGAAUAGCCUCGGGAAACUGAGAGUAAUACCUUAUACGCCCUUCGGGGAAAGAUUUAUCGGUUAAGGAUUGGCCCGCGUUAGAUUAGAUAGUUGGUGGGGUAAUGGCCUACCAAGU
rnacentral:rRNA from 1 species